CCUACGGGUGGCAGCAGUGAGGAAUAUUGGUCAAUGGGCGGGAGCCUGAACCAGCCAAGUCGCGUGAGGGAAGAAGGUACUGAGUAUUGUAAACCUCUUUUGCCAGGGGACAAAGGCGGCCACGGGUGGCCGUAAGAGGGUACCUGGAGAAAAAGCAUCGGCUAACACCGUGCCAGCAGCCGCGGUAAUCGGGAGGAUGCGAGCGUUAUCCGGAUUUAUUGGGUGUAAGGGCUGCCAGGGCGGCGUGUCAAGGCGGCGGUAAAAUGACGGGGCUCAACCCCGGCCGGCCGUUGAAACUGGCGUGCUCGAGUUGGAGAGAAGUAUGCGGAAUGCGUGGUGUAGCGGUGAAAUGCAUAGAUAUCACGAAGAACCCCGAUUGCGAAGGCAGCAUACCGGCUCCACACUGACGCUGAGGCACGAAAGCGUGGGUAUCGAACAGGAUUAGAUACCCCUGUAGUC
rnacentral:rRNA from 1 species